GUUGUUCUCCCGUCCAAUAAGAAUCCCGCCGUCCAAACAGUAGCACAUUCGGGAAAGGCUAACGUGAGUCUACUUUACCGAACGCAAAGAUUUUAUUGAAAGACUUCCCCCCCCCCACACACACACAGAAAGCAAUCCAGAAAGCCCCUGGAUCAGAGAUGACAUACAGGAGGGACAGGAGUAUACGAGAUGUGUAUGAAGAGCGCUUUAUGUCUGACAGGCCAGGGAGAGGUCAGUACUCUCGAGGAGGGGAGAGGCGAGGACACUUUGGCAGGCCUGAUGGUUAUGAAUAUGAAGGAGGUCCUCGCUUUUUCCCAAAUGGCGGGGCCCCGCGUAAUUACCACGGAGAAGAUCAGCGGGGCUACCACGGAGAUGCCGGUCAUUUCCCCUCAGAACGCAGAGCUGGUCCCCAUUCAAGAAGGGAUGAUUAUUCUUACAGAGGACCCAGGGAUGAGCAACACACAGGACGGCCUAUGGAAUAUAAUCUUGCUGGACCUGCGUACGUUACAGUGGAGAGUAACCAACUUUGAACAGCAAAUUAAUACUAACCGCGCAGCACCACCACCGCGAAACCAAGGCAUGUACCCAGCGCCCCGAUCGCUACCAGAAAGCGGUGCCGACACGCUCGUGCAAGCUAUCCUCAACCUGGACCGGGGGGACGACAGACAAGACUACCGGAGGAAGGCGCCUCCGUUCCCGCCCCUCAGAGACCGUUCCCCCCAUAGCCGCUCGGGUUCAAGCGUGAGCAGCAGGAGCUACUCGCCGGAUCGCGCCAAAAACCUCCCGUUUCCCUCACAGCAAGGCAAGAGUGGGGGUGGUCCAGAGGGCCACACAGGUCCAAAUGAGCACCUCCGGGGGGCGCUCUUUCCUCACAGUGGACAUGAGUCUACAGAAAAGAUCCCAGGUCUGUCAAGAGAAGGCUCUCCAAGCAGUGCAACCUCAAACAAGGAGGAGAACAAUGCGCCUGAAGCAGAAAAAGAGGAAGCAUUGUCAGCUCUUGUUACUGAGGAGAGUCAGAAGACAACAACCACAGACAACUUUAAGGAGCGGCGAGGGUUGGCAAUAGCAGCUAAAGCCCGGGAGAUUGAAAAGGUGAAAUCCGACGGCAAGACGCCGAGUGUUGCUGCCAUGUAGCUGAUGGCCUCCAGAGUCUCCAAGUUCUCCUUACACAGCGUGAAAGCUGCAAGAAAGAAAAAACGCAUCCGGCUGUCAAACUCCUGAAGUUUGCAGAUGACACCACUGUCAUCGGCCUCAUCAAGGGCGGUGACGAGUCUGCAGAGAGGCUGGAGCUGUGGUGCGGCCGACACAACCUGGAGCUGAACACGCUCAAGACUGUAGAGAUGAUCGUGGACUUCAGGAGGCAUCCUGCCCCACAGCUGCCCCUCACGCUGUCCAGCUGCCUUGUGUCAACCGUCGAGACCUUCAAGUUCCUGGGAAUUACAGUCUCUCAGGACCUGAAGUGGGUGAUCAACAUCAACUCCGUCCUCAAAAAGGCCGAGCAGAGGAUGUUACUUCGUGCGGCUUCUGAGAAAGCACGGCCUGCCACAGGAGCUGCUGAGGCAGUUCUACACAGCGGUCAUCGAAUCAGUCCUGUGUUCUUCCAUCAGUCUGGUUUGGUGCUGCUACAAAAAAGGACAAACUCUGACUGCAACGGACAAUCAAAACUGCUGAAAUGAUUGUUGGUACCCCCCCUACCCACCCUUGAGGACUUGCACGCUGCCAGAACUAAGACAAAAGCGUGCAAAAUCCUCUCGGACCCUCCGCAUCCCGGCUCCUCCCCUCAGGUAGGCGCAACCGAUCAAUGCAAACUAGAACUAGCAGACAUUCCAACAGCUUCUUCCCUCUUGCAAUCAACUUCUUAAACACCUAACCUACAAUUCCAUUACAACAUGCUGGCAAUUUUUUGACUUGAGUUCGUUGUCACAUUUCUGUGGGGCCAAUUAUAUAUUACUCGUGCACUCACUGUAGUUGUCUCACCACGCUGCACUAUUUGCAUAUCUGUUUUUGACCAAUACUGGGCACUCAUGCCAGAGUAGCAUCUGCUCCAUUUGCACACUGAUCGAGGAGUAUCUGCAACAUUUGCACAAUCAACACUGUCCCAGAUUAUCGCAGUACUCGCUUGAAGUCUCGGCACCCUUUGCACAAUGUUCAUUGCACCGGACUAUUGCAAUAUUAGUCUUUCGAACUGCUCUAAGUGCUAGAGGACUCUGCAUCUUUUUGCACAAUUGUCAAAAAAAAAAAUGUACCGGCAUUACCAGAUAUAUAUAGAUACCAACCCUUAUUGCUCAGUGACUGUUUUUUGUCAAUGUCUUUAUGUCUCAAAAGUGUUCUCUGUCAAUUGACUGUCUGUUGUCGUAGUAGAGCGGCUCAAACUACCGGAGACAAAUUCCUUGUGUGUUUUUUGGACAUACUUGGCAAAUAAAGAUGAUUCUGAUUCGGA